rnacentral:rRNA from 1 species
UGGGGAAUUUUGGACAAUGGGCGAAAGCCUGAUCCAGCAAUGCCGCGUGUGUGAAGAAGGCCUUCGGGUUGUAAAGCACUUUUGUCCGGAAAGAAAUCCUUGGCUCUAAUACAGUCGGGGGAUGACGGUACCGGAAGAAUAAGCACCGGCUAACUACGUGCCAGCAGCCGCGGUAAUACGUAGGGUGCAAGCGUUAAUCGGAAUUACUGGGCGUAAAGCGUGCGCAGGCGGUUUGCUAAGACCGAUGUGAAAUCCCCGGGCUCAACCUGGGAACUGCAUUGGUGACUGGCAGGCUAGAGUAUGGCAGAGGGGGGUAGAAUUCCACGUGUAGCAGUGAAAUGCGUAGAGAUGUGGAGGAAUACCGAUGGCGAAGGCAGCCCCCUGGGCCAAUACUGACGCUCAUGCACGAAAGCGUGGGGAGCAAACAGGAUUAGAUACCCUGGUAGUCCACGCCCCAAACGAUGUCAACUAGUUGUUGGGGAUUCAUUCCUUAGUAACGUGCUAACGCGUGAAGUUGACCGCCUGGGGAGUACGGUCGCAAGAUUAAAACUCAAAGGAAUUGACGGGGUCAUAGCUGUUUCCU